rnacentral:rRNA from 1 species
GACAGAGGUCCCGAGCGUUAGGCGGAAUCACUGGGCUUAAAGCGUGUGUAGGCGGAUUGGUAAGUACCUUGUGAAAUCCCACGGCUUAACCGUGGAACUGCUGGGCAUACUGGGAGUCUUGAGCUGUCUAGGGGCGACUGGAACAAACGGUGGAGCGGUGAAAUGCGUAGAUAUCAGGAGGAACACCGGUGGCGAAGGCGGGUCUCUGGGCCGAAAUUGACGCUGAGGAGCGAAAGCGUGGGGAGCAAACAGG